CACUCAAUUGGGAAUCUAGCCGCUAAAACAUCCAAGUUCAUCGUCGAAGCGUCGGCGGCCACAUUACUCUAUUCAGUGCCAAAAGGCUUCAAUUUCCGAGUUUUCGCCAAUAAUCAAACAGAGCCCUAAGUUUGUGGCAUCGCUUUCGAUGGGGAGCGACGAAUCGGGAAUGUUGCAGAGAAAUGAAGGCGGUAAGAUUUCGACACAUCAAAACACCUUUUCGAUUUCCUUUUGUUAGCAGAAAGAUUGCAAUAGAUUAGAGUAGCGGAAUUUUUGGAUAUUUGAUUUCUUUUUUAAAGAGGAAGUGUGUGGAUUUGUUCGUUGCAUUGAAUGUGGACGGAAUUUGAGCUAUCUUCUCAAAUCUUACAGUUGUUUGUGUACUGAUUAUAAAUUAAUUUAGGAAUAGGAGGAUCCUUCCUUCGAAAAGAAACCCUAGAAGCCAUCGAGUGUGGAAAAGGGGGGAAACUGGUUAUGGACUUGAACGAUAAUGGGAUAUUUCUUUUACUUUUUUUAGUUCUAUUCUCUUUUUGCAUUUCUUUUCAAUAAAGUAAUGGAGAACUUAUGAACCUUUUC